rnacentral:rRNA from 1 species
UGGGGAAUAUUGGACACUGUGCGCAAGCCUGAUCCAGCCAUGCCGCGUGAGUGAUUAAGGCCCUAGGUUUGUAAAGCUCUUUCACCGGUGAAGAUAAUGACGGUAACUGGAGAAGAAGCCCCGGCCAACUUCGUGCCAUCAGCCGCGGUCAUACGAAGUCGGCUAUCGUUGUUCGGAUUUACUGGGCGUAAAGCGUACGUAGGCGGACUUUUAAGUCAGGGGUGAAAUCCCGGGGCUUAACCCCGGAACUGCCUUUGAUACUGGAAGUCUUGAGUAUGGUAGAGGUGAGUGGAAUUCCGAGUGUAAAGGUGAAAUACGUAGAUAUUCGGAGGAACACCAGUGGAGAAGGCGGCUCACUGGACCAUUACUGACGCUGAGGUGCGAAAGCGUGGCGAGCAAACAGG